UACAGAGGGUGCGAGCGUUGUCCGGAAUCACUGGGCGUAAAGGGCGCGUAGGCGGCUUGAUAAGGUUGCGGUGAAAGCCCGGGGCUCAACCCCGGGUCGGCCGUGGCAACUGUCGAGCUGGAGCACUGUAGAGGCAGGUGGAAUUCCCGGUGUAGUGGUGGAAUGCGUAGAUAUCGGGAGGAACACCAGUGGCGAAGGCGGUUGCCUGGAGCUUUGCUGACGCUGAGGCGCGAAAGCUGGGGGAGCGAACGGG
rnacentral:rRNA from 1 species